UCAGAUAUCCAUUAUAUUGGUAAAUAAGCUGUCAUGAACAGUCAAAUUAACCCAGAAAGAUUCAGCCCGAACGGCAGGCAUCCAGGGGGAAACCAAGGGAAUAUUCAGUGUGGUGCAUGCGAGGGAGAAUUUUGCAGGAAAACAAAGAUGAUUUUUAGCUCUCAGCAGUUAAAUCCUAUGCUUAUAAUGGCUCUUUUAAACCCCACACUGAAAGACGUGAAAAUAGAUGGAAACAUUUUAAUAUCCAACACAUCCAGUCAUUGAGUUGAAACCUUGGGUAGUAAAAACUAUCUUGGCACCGUAAUAUCCGGUCCACAAAAGACAUUCUAAAGCAACAUUGCUCGAAGGUUUAGAUAGAUACAUUACUUUCCUAUGUCAAAAAAACAAAAA